ACAAACAACAAAAAAUGAAACUAAUUGUCAAGCACUCUCAGAUAAAAAUGGUGGUAAAAAUGGUGGUUACCUUGUUUCUUCUUACAUUUGGCCUUGCUCAUGCUAGAUAUCCAAUUUUCCCAACCCCAUAUGCUCCUCCAUCAAACGGAAUUGUGAAGACAUCAGUGAAUCAAUUCCCAGGCUUUACACCUCCAUUUUAUCCUCCAGGACACAAAAAACAUCCACCAAGUCCAGAACAUCUAGCUAAGAAUGCGAAGAUGUCAAUAAACUAA